UUGGAGGGCAAGUCUGGUGCCAGCAGCCGCGGUAAUUCCAGCUCCAAUAGCGUAUAUUAAAGUUGUUGCAGUUAAAAAGCUCGUAGUUGAAUUUCGGGGUUCUACCGUCGGUCGGGCUAACAAGUCUGUACUGGUGUGUAGAAUUUCUACCUUCUGGGGAACUAUCAUGUUAUUAAUUUAGCGUGGUGGGAAACCAGGACCUUUACCUUGAAAAAAUUAGAGUGUUCAAAGCAGGCUUACGUCUGAAUACAUUAGCAUGGAAUAAUAGAAUAGGACGGUGGUCCUGUUUUGUUGGUUUCUGAAUCACCGUAAUGAUUAAUAGGGAUAGUUGGGGGCAUCAGUAUUCAAUUGUCAGAGGUGAAAUUCUUGGAUUUAUUGAAGACUAACUUCUGCGAAAGCAUUUGCCAAGGAUGUUUUCAUUAAUCAAGAACGAAAGUUAGGGGAUCAAAGACGAUCAGAUACCGUCGUAGUCUUAACCAUAAACUAUGCCGACUAGGGAUCGGACGAUGUUAACCUUUAUUGACUCGUUCGGCGCCUUACGGGAAAC
rnacentral:rRNA from 1 species